GGUCGCCUCGGGUCAGUUGGGUCACUGCGGAGGAUGAAAUGGGUAUCAGACGAGCCGGGAGUGUCUCAGUGACCGGUGGAGCGGUGCGCAGUGUUCUCUGCACCUGGCCCGCGGCGACCACGUGAUCAGUCGAGCACGAACGGCGGCACCUGGACGGUGGUCACGUGACCGUCGGGAAGGACGUGGUCAGGCCCAGUGAACGUGACGAAUGUGUUCGGCGUGCACCUGGACAGUCGGCGCGUGUCACGCGGAGGAAGCGGUGGUAUUACCGGUCACGCGCUGCUACCUGCCCAGUCAGCGAGACAUGACUGCUGCACAGCGCACAUUACCCGGUCAUAACCUGCGGUCAUUUCGAGCCCUCGGUCAUGAACCGCGGUCAGAAGGUCCGCUGACCGCUCCUGACCGAAGCACUCAUUGCACGUUGAGAUAAAGUUGCGUUUCGUGCGAGUGAACAGGCGGCUGGCGGCUGUCGGAAUGGGCGAGUGUUCGCGGCGCAGCCGUCAACCACAGCCGACGGGUCUGCGUGCCUCACCUGUAAACAGGUCGGAGCGGGGUCUGUAGCCGCUGACAGCAGGUGAGCUGGUGCCAGCCAGAGGGAGGGUGGUG